rnacentral:rRNA from 1 species
UACUCGAGUGGCGAACGGGUGAGUAACACGUGGGUGAUCUGCCCUGCACUUCGGGAUAAGCCUGGGAAACUGGGUCUAAUACCGGAUAGGAGCCAUCUUUAGUGUGGUGGUUGGAAAGUUUUUUCGGUGUAGGAUGAGCUCGCGGCCUAUCAGCUUGUUGGUGGGGUAAUGGCCUACCAAGGCGGCGACGGGUAGCCGGCCUGAGAGGGUGUACGGCCACAUUGGGACUGAGAUACGGCCCAG